CCUACGGGUGGCAGCAGUGGGGAAUAUUGGACAAUGGGGGGAACCCUGAUCCAGCCAUGCCGCGUGUGUGAAGAAGGCCCUCGGGUUGUAAAGCACUUUCAGUGAGGAAGAACGCCUGGUGGUUAAUACCCAUCAGGAAAGACAUCACUCACAGAAGAAGCACCGGCUAACUCCGUGCCAGCAGCCGCGGUAAUACGGAGGGUGCGAGCGUUAAUCGGAAUUACUGGGCGUAAAGCGCGCGUAGGUGGCUUGAUAAGCCGGUUGUGAAAGCCCCGGGCUCAACCUGGGAACGGCAUCCGGAACUGUCAAGCUAGAGUGCAGGAGAGGAAGGUAGAAUUCCCGGUGUAGCGGUGAAAUGCGUAGAGAUCGGGAGGAAUACCAGUGGCGAAGGCGGCCUUCUGGACUGACACUGACACUGAGGUGCGAAAGCGUGGGUAGCAAACAGGAUUAGAUACCCCAGUAGUA
rnacentral:rRNA from 1 species